AGUGAACGCUGGCGGUAGGCCUAACACAUGCAAGUCGAACGGCAGCACAGUGAGAGCUUGCUCUUACGGGUGGCGAGUGGCGGACGGGUGAGGAAUACAUCGGAAUCUACUUUUUCGUGGGGGAUAACGUAGGGAAACUUACGCUAAUACCGCAUACGACCUACGGGUGAAAGCAGGGGAUCUUCGGACCUUGCGCGAUUGAAUGAGCCGAUGUCGGAUUAGCUAGUUGGCGGGGUAAAGGCCCACCAAGGCGACGAUCCGUAGCUGGUCUGAGAGGAUGAUCAGCCAAACUGGAACUGAGACACGGUCCAGACUCCUACGGGAGGCAGCAGUGGGGAAUAUUGGACAAAGGGCGCAAGCCUGAUCCAGCCAUACCGCGUGGGUGAAGAAGGCCUUCGGGUUGUAAAGCCCUUUUGUUGGGAAAGAAAAGCAGCAGGUUAAUACCCCGCUGUUCUGACGGUACCCAAAGAAUAAGCACCGGCUAACUUCGUG
rnacentral:rRNA from 1 species